rnacentral:rRNA from 1 species
AGCGAACGCUGGCGGCAGGCCUAACACAUGCAAGUCGAACGAACCUUUCGGGGUUAGUGGCGGACGGGUGAGUAACACGUGGGAACGUGCCUUUAGGUUCGGAAUAACUUAGGGAAACUUGUGCUAAUACCGAUUGUGCACUUCGGGGGAAAGAUUUAUCGCCUUUAGAGCGGCCCGCGUCUGUUUAGCUAGUUGGUUGAGGUAAUGGCUCACCAAGGCGACGAUCAGUAGCUGGUCUGAGAGGAUGAUCAGCCACAUUGGGACUGAGACACGGCCCAAACUCCUACGGGAGGCAGCAGUGGGGAAUCUUGCGCAGUGGGCGAAAGCCUGACGCAGCCAUGCCGCGUGAAUGAUGAAGGUCUUAGGAUUGUAAAAUUCUUUCGCCGGGGACGAUAAUGACGGUACCCGGUGAAGAAGCCCCGGCUAACUUCGUG